rnacentral:rRNA from 1 species
GGGGAUACUGUUAGACUUGGGACCGGGAGAGGUAAGAGGUACUGCAGGGGUAGGAGUGAAAUCUUGUAAUCCCUGUGAGACCACCAGUGGCGAAGGCGUCUUACCAGAACGGGUCCGACGGUGAGGGACGAAAGCUGGGGGCACGAACCGGAUUAGAUACCCGGGUAGUCCCAGCUGUAAACGAUGCUCGUUAGGUGUCAGGAACGGUGCGACUGUUUCUGGUGCCGAAGGGAAGCCGUGAAACGAGCCACCUGGGAAGUACGGCCGCAAGGCUGAAACUUAAAGGAAUUGGCGGGGGAGCACUACAACGGGUGGAGCCUGCGGUUUAAUUGGACUCAACGCCGGAAAACUCACCGGGGGCGACAGCAAUAUGUAGGUCAGGUUAAAGGUCUUACCUGAAUCGCUGAGAGGAGGUGCAUGGCCGUCGUCAGUUCGUACUGUGAAGCAUCCUGUUAAGUCAGGCAACGAGCAAGACCCGUGCCCACUGUUACCAGCAUAUCCUUUAUGGAUGAUGGGGACUCUGUGGGGACCGCUGCUGCUAAAGCAGAGGAAGGUGCGGGCUACGGUAGGUCAGUAUGCCCCGAAUCUCCCGGGCUACACGCGGGCUACAAUGGUUGGGACAAUGGGUAUCUACUCCGAAAGGAGUUGGCAAUCUCUUAAACCCAAUCGUAGUUCGAAUUGAGGGCUGUAACUCGCCCUCAUGAAGCUGGAAUCCGUAGUAAUCGCGUUUCAACAUAGCGCGGU